AGCACAUUUGACAGGCAAAAUUCCAACUUUGAUUUUUUUGGCACUUAACCCAAAUGUUGAUUCCAUGCCUCAAUUGACCUUACACAGGGUGAAAAGUUUUAUAAUUGGUUUUAUACA